rnacentral:tRNA from 1 species
CGCUGCCAUGGCCCGGCGAGGCGCCGCGCCGCGGUCGGGGCGGUAGCUGCUGAUCACGCUGCAGGCGGCGCC